UACGUAGGGACCGAGCGUUGUCCGGAUUCAUUGGGCGUAAAGAGCUCGUAGGCGGCCACUCAAGUCGAAUGUGAAACCUCGAGGCUCAACCUCGAGCCUGCAUUCGAUACUGGGCGGCUAGAGUCUGGUAGGGGAUCUGGAAUUCCUGGUGUAGCGGUGGAAUGCGCAGAUAUCAGGAGGAACACCGGUGGCGAAGGCGGGUCUCUGGGCCGUAACUGACGCUGAGGAGCGAAAGCGUGGGGAGCAAACAGG
rnacentral:rRNA from 1 species